rnacentral:rRNA from 1 species
UACGAAGGGGGGCUAGCGUUACUCGGAAUUACUGGGCGUAAAGGGCGCGUAGGCGGCGCUCCAAGUUAGGCGUGAAAGUCCUGGGCUCAACCUGGGAACUGCGCUUAAGACUGGAGUGCUAGAGGAUGGAAGAGGGUUGUGGAAUUCCCAGUGUAGAGGUGAAAUUCGUAGAUAUUGGGAAGAACACCGGUGGCGAAGGCGGCGACCUGGUCCAUUACUGACGCUGAGGCGCGACAGCGUGGGGAGCAAACAGG